UUUUUUCUAGCAUCAUCAUAGCACUAUUCUUGAAUGAACGCAACUUAAUUCACUAGGGGAAGGGAUAUUAAACACUGUAACCUACUGCUGUCAAAGGCUGCAGUAAAGGUAGGAAAAAAGGGAACAGAAAGCCUCAGCUAUUUUUACUAUGAAGAAAGUUCACUCCUAAUGUAUGUCUGAUUUUUUUUGGUUCCUUGACUAUUAGCUGCUUGCAGCUUCUAUUGUCUGGCCCCAUAGGUCUACAUACAUGGUCAGGUAAUCUCCAACUGCCAACAGCUUUAUUUAUUUUAAUACAACUUGAAGAAUAAAUAGCUCAUAUAAUACUUUGGAGCACAGCAGACUUCAUGGGGAGAGACAUCAGCCGGGCCUUCUACUUCAUUGUUGUCCCCUCCUUCCUCUAUUCCUGUUGUGCUUUUUUGAGUGACUGAGCUGGCUUUAUUUCCUCCCUUCAAACACCACCAAAAAAACCCCAAACAAAUCAAACUUAAAACCACAGGAAAACCUGAAGUGACAGCUCAAGCAUAAACUCUGAAGUUACAGCGUACUGUAGCUACAUUAUUACAGUUAGCAUGGAAAACAGCAAUGGUUUCACUAAAAUUUGGUCACUUGCACAGUGGAAGUUGGAAGAAAAAGCCCUGCUUCCCUUGCCAAGCCAGGGCAAACGCCAGACUGCUGGUUUCAUGGGUGACUGUUCUGGUUCCACAGAUGAAAAACAGCGCGUUGCUGCAGGAUCGGUCCUGAACACCUGCCUUAACAGGAUGGCACAGUCCCACUCAGAGUUCCUCUGCUCUCACUGCCCUGACAGCACGGAACGGGGAGGGUGCGCCCGGGUGCAGGAGUGGCAGUGACAGGACAGUCAUCAGGCACGUCCCCUGCACAAACCUGAGAGAAACACGUGCUAGGAGAGGACUCUGGUGGCUGGAAGGGCAGUCAGCGUCUUGUGCAAGGUUUGGUAUGCCUUACAGAGAAGCCAGAGUGCAGCCUUUGCCAACCUGGACACCUGCAGAAUGUAGUGGCAGCCAGAUUAAAGGCAAUAGGAAAAGAAAAGGCAGGUUAAACAUCCAAACCUACCUGUGGUUAUAUACUCCUGCAGCUGCUGCUGCUGUUAUUGUCACCAGGUCACUGCCACUGCAAGCAGCUGCCAGCCCUGAAAUAACCUUGCAAAACUUUAUGUAUAUCUAACAUAAGAAAAGUCUGCUCACCUGCUUCCUUACCUGAAUAACAACAGUAGAAAAAAAUACUUAUCUACACACACAUACAAAAAGUCUUUACAGGAGAGGGAGGAGAUACCCCAAAGCCUCUCGCUGACUUGGCAGUUCAAGCCUGUAUUAGUUCUUUAAAAAAGUAUUUCAAAUCGAGCUGCAGUUGAGCAGCUUGGCAC
ensembl:lncRNA